AGAAUCCUCACCACCGCCUUUGUCCAUGUUUCUCGCACCCGUGAGACGAUCCCCGCGAGCUCCUCAACCAUCUGAAGCCAGAGGAAAUAACGAACAACUCUACGGGUUUCAGGAGCUGAAUCAUUGAGGUUGCAAUUGGUAGUACUAGAGAAUCAAUGACACAUUCUCUUGAAGAAAAUGAAGCUACUUCUAAUCCUGAAAAUGUCACCAGAACAUCUCACAGCAAAAAAACACAGGCAAAGAGACAAUUGUUCAAAGCCUAAAGCCUGUUAACAGAACUACCUUGGAAGUAGCUUAUAUAUUCUCCAAAUCAGAUGCUUAGUGCCAAUCUUUUUUGGAUUACUUGAAGACAGCCUACUCAUGUGUAUGCAUUUAAAAACUCCAUGCUUGGAAUGAAGCUGAGCCUGGCGUUUGUUGAUUAAAAAAAUCAUGUAACCUUUCUUAUAUUUCCAUAUUACGAAUGACUAUAACAAAACAUACAGACGACACAAUUAUCUAUACGCGCGCAGCGAAGCGCGCGAAUCUGGCUAGUAUACAUAAAUCGACCCACUCGUCAACGGAGUCAAUGAGACAUUACAUUUUUUUUUCUUUUGGCGAUCGAGGAGUGA